CGACACCGACAGGAUUCGAACCUGCGCACGUGAAACGUAGUGGAUUUCGAAUCCACCUCCUUAACCACUCGGACACGGUGUC